rnacentral:rRNA from 1 species
AUACGGAGGAUGCGAGCGUUAUCCGGAUUUAUUGGGUUUAAAGGGUGCGUAGGCGGACGAUUAAGUCAGCUGUGAAAUGCCCGCGCUUAACGCGGGAAGUGCAGUUGAUACUGGUUGUCUGGAGUGCCGUUGCCGUGGGGGGAAUGUGUAGUGUAGCGGUGAAAUGCAUAGAUAUUACACAGAACGCCGAUUGUGAAGACCCCUCACGAAGCUGUAACUAAGGCUGAGGCUCGAAGGUGUGGGGACCGAGAAGGAUUAGAUCCCCUCGUAGUCCCCGCAGUAAUCGAUGAUGACUAACCGUCGCCGAUAGACCGCCUGUGGCCAAGCGAAAGCGAUAAGUCAUCCACCUGGGGAGUACGACCGCAAGGUUGAAACUCAAAUGAAUUGACGGUG